rnacentral:lncRNA from 1 species
UCCUAACAACUACACUUUAUGUUUUAUUUAUUUUAUAAUGGCGUCAUUCUUUUUAUUUUAUUUUUUAUUUAAAUAUUAAGUCAUCUAUUUGUUCAGUUAACCUACCAUCUGAGGGGAAAGAUUACUCAAUUAUUCCUAUAAAAAUAUUUGUUCAUUAAGUUUUACCUUAAUAUAACUCAUUUAUUCCCGCUUAACCUCGUAAUCAUCCUUCUCUGAGAUGGAUUGUAAGACAGAAAAACAUUUAAGGUUUAUGUUUUGUUCUUGAACCAUAAAUGAGAAGUUGAU